GGCGUGGUGCGCGCGUCGCCCGCCCGCUGCACGCCCGCCCAGUCCCCGGUGCGCGCCCGCUGCGCUCGAAGAUCCGUCGCUUCCGAGUCUAGCUCUACGUGGCGUGGGAGUGGCGCCAGAAUUCAAACCAACAGCCGCAGUUGGAGGCGAGUCUACCGCCUGCCCCGGGCCAAAUGCGCCCUGAACAGAUUGGCCGGCUUGGGGCCGGGAGUGGGCUUGAGUUUUGUAGCGCAGGAUGGCCUCAGCAUUUGACCAUCUCGAAAAGUCGGGCUGACUUGGCGCGGCGGGAGUUGACGCCCAGCGGGCGCCGCAGGAGCUGGCGGGCACUGGUCUCCGCACUCCCAGAAAGAUAAAUUGGCGUGCAGAAGUGCUUAGGUGAAAAAAGUAUGUGAAAGCACCGCCUUUCUCUUGCGGUCCACUGCGAGAAUACCGCGCCUCUGCGGGACAGCCGGCCCGCCGCGCCGCACGCGGCCCAGUUGCGCCCCAGUGCGGGCGUCCGCGCCCUACCCGCCCCACCCCAUCCCUGUGCUUCAUUGUGCCAGGCGCUGCUGUUGCGUUACGUGGUCUGCGCGUAGAGUUCUCCCCGACGCAGCCAACCCGAGAGUUUCUGGUUUUUCACUAUUUCAAAUUGUGCUGAAGCGAAUUACAGAUAUAUUAUAGGGAUCUUGUUGGAAGAUCUGCAAGAUCAAUUUCUAAAG